GCACCAUCAACACUACCGCAGCCAAGGAGCUGUGGGUUCCCCUCACGUCCAUCAGCUGGAGUGGCCACAUCCAAACUGGACAUUGGGAAGACUAAGACGUGGCAGUGAUGGACAUACAGCACAGGCCCUCAGCAAGGAAAGGGGAAAAAAGACUGGAAGACAGAUCUCAAGAAACUAUAGUUUGGAGACACAUGAAGAUGGAGAAUGAGUUACAGACUGAGAAGGUCUGACACCUCUGCAGGAGCGGAAGUGGGAGCUGGGAGGUAACAGCUGAAAACUCUAGAGCCAAAGACUUGAGUAAGUUUGGGAGCAGUAAGCCUACGCUGUGGAGUCCCCGUAGCUAAAUGCAAGCAAAGGGCUGGAAACAGGCAUGUCAGUCAGUGGAGGAACAGCAUACCACCCCAUGCGCUCAAGUCCCUGGCACAACCAGCUCUCAGUCAGGACAUGGGGAAGCAGGUUUGCAGAACUUGCCAUCACAGCCCUGUUCUGCCUGUACCUCUAAGUGAUGCUGUUUAAUGUGGGGAGAAGGCUCUGAGGGCCCCAACAAGGAGCUCAGUGAACGCGGGGACCCGGAUGCUGAUAGGCACCCCUGGGCAUCUGCACAAGACACUGUGGAGCUCACUGGGUACCUGCACAGAAUCCACAGUGUCUCCACGCUCAAAGCUCUCAAGUCAUUUAGGAUGUCCAACAGGAGGUGGACUGUGUCUUUUUAGGGGAACAAGACAAGAACAAAAUCUUUUCAUUUACAGGUGCAACAUCUUCCCUGCAGAUUCUGAGCUGUGCGUGUGAAGCCCACGGACGUGCAAGGCUGACUGCACCAAUAAGGACCGCAUUAAAAACACAUGUCAUUGGCGGGGAGGGUACAAAAAAAAAGCCUCAGCUGGGAAGGAGUGGGGAACUAAACUCUAUGAAGGUCUUUGAUGUUUUCAGAAAGGGAAUUCUGACUCUGCUAAGGCUGCGUGGUACAAUAUCAAGGUAACCUGCAACCCAGCCUGGUGGAGCAGAAGUGGGAGAAAAGACAAAGCAGAACACCAGGGAAGAAGCACAAAAGUAAACAAGUCUCUGUUUGAGCCAUUCAGGUCUGAGCAGCUCAGCGACUGUCGUCUACGGGGACGGGCCGCAGUGGCGCCUGCGCUACGAGGGGCUCAGGUGCUCAGUUCACAUCCUGGCUGCUG